AUACGUAGGUGACAAGCGUUAUCCGGAUUUACUGGGCGUAAAGGGCGUGUAGGCGGUCUUGCAAGUCAGAAGUGAAAUUCCUGAGCUCAACUCGGGCGCUGCUUCUGAAACUGCAGGACUUGAGUGCUGGAGAGGUUAUCGGAAUUCCCGGUGUAGCGGUGAAAUGCGUAGAGAUCGGGAGGAACACCAGUGGCGAAGGCGGGUAACUGGACUGCAACUGACGCUGAGGCGCGAAAGUGUGGGGAGCAAACAGGAUUAGAUACCCUGGUAGUCCACACUGUAAACGAUGAAUGCUAGGUGUAAGAGGUAUCGACCCCUUUUGUGCCGGAGUCAACACAAUAAGCAUUCCGCCUGGGGAGUACGGCCGCAAGGUUGAAACUCAAAUGAAUUGACGGGG
rnacentral:rRNA from 1 species